AAGAAAAGCUCGUAAGCACUAAGUACUGCUAAUACUUAUCACCCAUAGUUAAACUCUAUGGUUUUCUUA
rnacentral:tRNA from 1 species